rnacentral:rRNA from 1 species
GACGAACGCUGGCGGCGUGCUUAACACAUGCAAGUCGAACGGAAAGGCCCUUCGAGCUUCUCGAGAGGGGAACGGGGGGGUGACAGGGUGGUGAUCUGCUCGGCACUUUGGGAUAAGCCUGGGAAACUGGGGCUAAUACCAAGUAGGACCACCCUCCGCAUGACGGGUGGAGGAAGGCUUUUGCGGUGUGUGAUGGGCGCGCGGCCGAUGAGCUCGUUGGUGGUGUAAUGGCGGACCAAGGCGCAGACGGGUAGCCGGCCCGAGAGGGUGAACGGCCACACUGGGACUGAGGUACGGCCCAGAGUGCUAUGGGAGGCAGCAGUGGGGAACAUUGCACAAUGGGCGCGAGCGUGAUGAAGAGACGCUGCGUGAGGGAUGACGGCCUUCGGGGUGAAAACCUCUUUAAAUAGGGACGAAGCGGAAGUGACGGUACCUAUAGAAGAAGCACCGGCUAACUACGUG